GCCUUUGUGGUGUAGUGGUCAGCACGCUCGACGCGUAACCGAGAGGUCCGUGGUUCGACUCCCGAUGAAGGCA
rnacentral:tRNA from 1 species